rnacentral:rRNA from 1 species
AUUGAAUGCUGGCGGCAGGCCUAACACAUGCAAGUCGAACGAGUGGCGGACGGGUGAGUAAUGUCUGGGACACUGCCUGAUGGAGGGGGAUAACUACUGGAAACGGUAGCUAAUACCGCCUACCAUCAGCUGUGCCCAGAUGGGAUUAGCUUGUUGGUGGGGUAACGGCUCACCAAGGCGACGAUCCCUAGCUGGUCUGAGAGGAUGACCAGCCACACUGGAACUGGGACACUGGCCAGACUCCGACGGGAGGUAGCAGUGGUGAAUAUUGCACAAUGGUCGCAAGCCUGAUGCAGCCAUGCCGCGUGUAUGAAGAAGGCCUUCGGGUUGGAAAGUACGUUCAGCGGGGAGGCGUUACCCGCAGAAGAAGCACCGGCUAACGCCGUGCCAGCAGCCGCGGUAAUUC